GAAUAAGUUACAUAUAAUAUUUGUAUUACAGUAUGUAAUGAAAACAGUCAUUAUGAGAAUGUGUGUGUGAUAAAAUAUCUUCAUUUACAAACCAUAUAUCUUGUGUCAAGGGGAAUAGACAUGUAACUUGUGUGGAGA